CGGAGAUUGCCUUGGAUUCAUUGACAACGUUGGGGAGUGGUGAUGUUGACAGUAGCGGAGAAGGAAGUCUCAGAGCGGAGGUCAAUCAGCAUGGCUCUGUUCACCGUCUGUCUAGUUCCUUCGGGCUGGUAGAGGGUGAGAGGAAGAAAAUCAAAUCACUUUAAUGAGCAACAAGAAAUGAAAGCUGAAGAAAAUAAGAAAUAGGAGUGGAAAGAAAGUCAACAUCCUAACCAAAAGAAACUAGCUAAUAAACAGACAGCUAAGCAUCCCAACUAGCACACAAUGAGAAACACAAAGCCCACUGUCUCAAACCUUGACAAGAAGCUGCUUGGUGACCACAUCAGCAGCGGAGGCAGUGGUGGCCCUCACGGUGAUGGGGAUGUUGCCGAUAGUCUGUGGCACCACCAUGAAGCUGACACUCAUGCCAGUACCUGAUGCCACCACAACCUCUCUGCUCUUCAUUGCUGCUGGGGCUGUGGGAGAAGAGGUUGUAUUGAGAAACAAUGCAAAUGUAAGCUGAGAAAGGAGACGUAAACAGAGAAGAGUAGGAAAAUAUAAAAUUAUGGCAGAAGUUUAUUUAAGAGAAGGGUAGAAAUGUAGAAGAUAAUGACAGAUUAAUAUUAAUCAUUCUAUCAAUAAAUUCAUCAAUCAGUCAUUAUCACUCUCUCUCUCUCUCACUUACAGCCUUGGUCGAUCUCAUUGGCAAAGUCAGCAAACAGGAAGUCCUCAUUGGGAUUCUCCAGAGUGACCUGCGCUGUGGCCUGUUGAUCCCCAUAGUUGAAAAUGACCAUCUCCACUGCCACGGCCUCCCCGCGCACCACGCCCGCCGCAGGGAGGUUCAUUGACACAAAGAAUGGCCGGAACACUCGCAGCUAAGAGGAGUUCCUGUAUGAAAUAAACCUUACGUCACAAAGCAAUACUCACGGAAUGGAUUGAAGUCGUGGACGUAACCAUUAGUCAGCACCACAAUGCCAGCGUUCUGCAACACCACACACCCACACAUUAGAGAAGACACUGAACAGAGAUGAGAUACUGACUCAUUCUUAAUCUCUACAAGGUUGGUGGAAGAAUAGUGGUGCAAGAAAAUGAAUGAAGAGUUUAUAUAAGGAAAGACAGAAGGGAAGGAAGAAAGCUAAAGAUACUGGCUUAUUCUUAAAAUGUUCUGCAGUGGAUAAAUGAAUGGCUAUGGAAAUAAAUGAGUUAUAUGAAGGAAAACUGCUAAGUAAUGAAUGUGGUGUUAAUAUGAGAACUGAGAGAAGUAGUAACCUGAGAGAUGAAUGGCAAUGAUUAGUGUUAACAUGAAAAUAAGAGAGGAGGGUAACUUUGAAAACAUCACUAGCUUAACCUUAAAACAGUCCAGUCAGAUAAAAACAUAGGUACAAAAAUGAAGUAGGGGAAUGGACACUAGAGAAAGGAAAAGACUGAGGCAUUUAUAGUAUGACAGAGAGAGAGAGAGUAACCUUGAAGACAUCACUGGUGGUUGUGGUGCCCAUCCAGUUGAAGAGAGCUCGCUUCUUUCUGCUAAGGGCGUGCCAGGGCGCCUCCAAGGUCUUUCUGCCAGGGUCGUAUGUCUCCAGCUCAUCAAUCACCUCAUGCUGCAACACACAAGUGGAUGUUUUGUGAGACCAAGACAAAGACCUCAUCUGUGCAAACUGUCACAUGCGAGUAAAACUUUUCAUACAACAAAUAAAAAGGAUGAUUAAUUUGUCUAAGC